rnacentral:lncRNA from 1 species
CGCAGUAGUUAUUUUCGUUUGUCAGUGUUUGAACAUGGCAACACAACGCGUUCUAUUCAAUGUUCAACGCGGAAAGUGUGACCAUUUCGCGGAGAAAAAAAAUAUUUCUAAAUUUUACAGAAAGUAACACCUUUUUUGACAUUAGCAAUGAAAUUCAUCCAAUGUCUAACAUCGAUGAAAAAAAAUACACAACACAAAUUUUGUGCUCGGCCACCGGCAAAAAUGACUGGACCGAGAUUGAUGUCAAUAACACAACUGUUGGAACAAUGCAAUCUUUUGGAAUUAAAUUUAUCAAAUUUUCAUGCCAAACCCUUCUUCAAAAUGAACCUGAUAUUAAUCCAUCUGAAACUGGUCAGCCAAUCAACGCUUUAGACAUUCUGAUGAAAAGCCACAGAUGCUUUGCCAAAAGAAAGUGUCCUGCCAGGUACAGUGUAUAUAAUAUAUUUGUCUAUCUGUAGGUUUGGGAUGAUGUUUGGUUCAUGUUCCUAUAAAUGAAUCUGCCCCACAUCUUCUCAAUUUCUUUCUCUGACAAUCCCAAACUUUUGGUCCUGAAAUAGGGGAAUUGGGUUUAAAAA